rnacentral:lncRNA from 1 species
CUUCACAAUGAAAGGUUAGAAGACAUCAAGAGCUUCCUGGCAGCAUAAUUGACAGGGAUUUGUGGAGAAAAUCCAUGUAUAAACAUAACAGGCAGUCACUGUGUCCUGAGACAACGUGAGGAUGACAGAUUUGAAGAACAAAUGUUAAAGGGAAGAUCACGACAACGGAGGAGCGGAGCCACUUACCUGUGAGCCACUUGUUCCCGAGUGGAUGCCUUUGACAGAGAAGUAC